rnacentral:rRNA from 1 species
GACGAACGCUGGCGGCGUGCUUAACACAUGCAAGUCGAACGGAAAGGCCUUUUCGGAGGUACUCGAGUGGCGAACGGGUGAGUAACACGUGGGUGAUCUGCCCUGCACUCUGGGAUAAGCCUGGGAAACUGGGUCUAAUACCGGAUAGGACCGCACUUUAGUGUGUGUGGUGGAAAGUUUUUUCGGUGUAGGAUGAGCCCGCGGCCUAUCAGCUUGUUGGUGGGGUAAUGGCCUACCAAGGCGGCGACGGGUAGCCGGACUGGGAGGUUGGUCGGCCACAUUGGGACUGAGAUACGGCCCAGACUCCUACGGGAGGCAGAAGUGGGGAAUAUUGCACAAUGGGCGCAAGCCUGAUGCAGCGACGCCGCGUGGGGGAUGACGGCCUUGGGGUUGUAAACUCCUUUCGCCAGGGACGAAGCGUUUUGUGACGGUACCUGGAGAAGAAGCACCGGCUAACUACGUG